UGAUGCAGCAACGCCCGCUUGAGGGAUGACGGCCUUCCGGGUUGUAAACCUCUUUUUAGCAAGGAAGAAGCGAAAGUGACGGUACUUGCAGAAAAAGCGCCGGCUAACUACGUGCCAGCAGCCGCGGUAAUACGUAGGGCGCAAGCGUUAUCCGGAAUUAUUGGGCGUAAAGAGCUCGUAGGCGGUUUGUCGCGUCUGCUGUGAAAACUGGAGGCUCAACCUCCAGCCUGCAGUGGGUACGGGCAGACUAGAGUGCGGUAGGGGAGAUUGGAAUUCCUGGUGUAGCGGUGGAAUGCGCAGAUAUCAGGAGGAACACCGAUGGCGAAGGCAGAUCUCUGGGCCGUAACUGACGCUGAGGAGCGAAAGGGUGGGGAGCAAACAGGCUUAGAUACCCUGGUAGUCCACCCCGUAAACGUUGGGAACUAGUUGUGGGGACCAUUCCACGGUUUCCGUGACGCAGCUAACGCAUUAAGUUCCCCGCCUGGGGAGUACGGCCGCAAGGCUAAAACUCAAAGGAAUUGACGGGGACCCGCACAAGCGGCGGAGCAUGCGGAUUAAUUCGAUGCAACGCGAAGAACCUUACCAAGGCUUGACAUAUACGAGAACGCUGCAGAAAUGUAGAACUCUUUGGACACUCGUAUACAGGUGGUGCAUGGUUGUCGUCAGCUCGUGUCGUGAGAUGUUGGGUUAAGUCCCGCAACGAGCGCAACCCUCGUUCUAUGUUGCCAGCACGUAAUGGUGGGAACUCAUGGGAUACUGCCGGGGUCAACUCGGAGGAAGGUGGGGAUGACGUCAAAUCAUCAUGCCCCUUAUGUCUUGGGCUUCACGCAUGCUACAAUGGCCGGUACAAAGGGCUGCAAUACCGUGAGGUGGAGCGAAUCCCAAAAAGCCGGUCCCAGUUCGGAUUGAGGUCUGCAACUCGACCUCAUGAAGUCGGAG
rnacentral:rRNA from 1 species